GGUGCCGCAACUCGGAUGAUUCGCCCGCCCCGGACUUCCAUCUGGGGCCGGAGUUCCAGCUUUAGGCGCCAUCCGGGACUCCAAGCUCCCUCCCGGGGCAGAAUCAGGACCUGAGGACCUUUUCUACAACGACCCAUGUGUUCCAUCUGCCUAGACGCAGCUCCUCCAAACAACAAAUCAACUAAUCGUGAGUGUCCCCAUCUCGGCCAGCUUAACCAUCUCUUUUAACCCAAGGGAUUGAUCAUUGAGCUCCCAGCAACCCUUCACGGUUUCUAGGGAUAGGGGAACCUCCAACCGCGGGCCUUCAGGGCCUCGGUUGUUACCUUUGCUGGCAUUCAAUUCGGCUUGUCUCCUGUGCUAAGCCCAUGCCUGGGACAGCGUGGCCGUAGCCAGCCCCUCAGCUCACCCGUGCCUGGAGGCCCGGGGUCUCCAGUUCUCCCUCUUUUUCUCUUUUCAUUCCUUUUCUUCCUUCUUUUCGUCGUCCAUGGGGCAUGCUGCUAAGGUGCGGCCUGACCUUGGCUGAAUCCCUCCUGCCCCCGAGUCAACUCAGCCAGGUUAUAGCACACACACACACACACACACACCCGCCCCGUGAAAUCGGACGCCUUUUCACAGGGCCUGGGUGUUCGUGCCAUCUGCAUCUCGCCUUAACGGGGAGCCGUUCUUGUUGUAGGCUUGGGGUACCACGGUUUUUGCGGCUGUUUCCACGGCCUUGACCAUGGGAGCCAAGCCAUCCAGACCUAUCACUCCAACCUCAUGCUUUAAUGCCUUACACUUAUCCGUCUCUGUCCAAAUAAAUGGCCCCAUUAAAACUAUAGACGGCCAUUUUGGGUUCCAGCCUUUUGCCCUUCCCCUCUGCGGCUUUUGUUAUGGCAUGGCGGCUCUCCAACAGAGCAGACUACACGUGGUCGCCAUCUUGGCUGAGGGCCAGAUGGGUCAGGUGACUUUUUCCGCCAUCUUGACUGAGGGCCAGGUCACGUGACCACACUCUCCUGGUUUUACUCCGUUUUACCCUGCCUUCUCACCCAGUUUUCACUAAAAUCCUCCUAUUAACUCUGUUACAUAUGUUUUGAACAAUGUCACAUCUCUGAUAGGGCCCAUCAGAGUCGUCCACAUUGCCCAAUUCCUGUUCACUCUUUCUAUACAUAAUAAUACAUAUAUUUUAAACUGGUAUGUACCUUUACGUCUCUUAAGCUGUUCUCUACCAUUGUCAGUUCCGCCACUAACCUUAUAUUACAAGCAGUUUUUUGCCCUCAACUGCUCAGAGAUCUGGAAAUGUGAUAUUUAAAUAUUUAAUUAUUAAAAACUUUUCACAACAACAACAACAACAAAGAGACAGGUUGGCUCCUAGCAGCACCUCUCUGCUCCCUCCAAAGAAGACAGAAGACAGACACGUACAGAACAACAUCCUUCUGCAUUUUGCUUCGACUGCAAAGUGCCGACCAUUGGGCAAAACUGCCUUUCGUCCAAACCUCCAGAUGUGAACGGAAUCACAGCCUAGCUGCUCAGGUCGAGACACCGGUCAAAAGCAGAGAGCAGCUAUGACAGGAUGUGACCAGAACCCAGCCUUCUCUCGUGCCCCCCCAAAGACGACGCCUACAAUCAGCCAGAAGCAGUCUUGAGAGUUCACCGCCCCAGUUCCUUUGGACUGUGGUGUCUGGUCUCCUGCUUUUAUUAUAAGGAAGACCUGGGAAUGUUGUGCUUUCCCGUCCCUUUAAGGGACAAGCCACGCCCACUCCCAUUACCUCUGACCUGCCUGCCGGCAUGAGCACAUGUUCUGUCUUUCUCUCCUUUUAUCUUCUCUCUCUCUCUCUCUCUCUCUCUCUCUCUCUCUCUCUCUCUCUCUCUCUCCCUCUCUCCCUCUCUCCUGUAAUAAAUAUUUUACCUUUAUGCCUA